rnacentral:lncRNA from 1 species
CACCUCCAAUCGCACAUACAUAAUUAGGGACGAUUCAAGAGCCGCUGUGUGUUCAAAAACUUCGUGCGUGUACAAGAAUAAAUACUUUCUGAGGGUAUCAUUUCGCACCGUUGCAAUUUCCUGCAAGACGGGACGUUGUUGAACAAACCGGUUACUGAUGGGGCGAACACCUGAAGCAAUGUGAAAUCUGCAAAGAGCUGGGUCAUUUGAACAAAUGCUGACAUGAUCAAAUGCAUAGAAGGACACUGAUUGAUUGCACAUGAGGAGACAAUCUUUUGGGCGGAACUCUUCACUUUGUACUUCACCUGCCUGUGCAGUAGGAAGUUGCUAUCAGGAUGCGACAACAAAAUCUUUUGGUGAAUAAAACUAUCGAUGUAUCUUGGAAAUUUACUCCUUAUUUUGGGUCUACAGAUCCGAGCCUCCAGUGUCCAGGAAGAAACGCUGCUUCCAUGAUCUGACAUCUUUCUGUGCGAUUCCAGGUCAUUGUUAUCUUGUUUAUAGUCUUGGGUGGCUAUGCUUUCUUCCUUCAGUCCAAGCUCACUA